GAACCUAACAAGGGAUUCCCCUAGUAACUGCGAGUGAAGCGGGAAAAGCUCAAAUUUAAAAUCUGGCGGUUCUGCCGCCCGAGUUGUAAUCUGGAGAAGCGUUUUCUGUGCUGGACCGUGUACAAGUCUCUUGGAACAGAGCGUCAUAGAGGGUGAGAAUCCCGUCCAUGACACGGACGCCCAGUGCUAUGUGAUACGUUUUCAAAGAGUCGAGUUGUUUGGGAAUGCAGCUCAAAAUGGGUGGUAAGCUCCAUCUAAAGCUAAAUAUUGGCGAGAGACCGAUAGCGAACAAGUACCGUGAGGGAAAGAUGAAAAGCACUUUGGAAAGAGAGUUAAACAGUACGUGAAAUUGUUGAAAGGGAAACGCUUGAAGUUAGCGCGUCUUACUUGACUCAGCCUUGCCUCGGCUUGGUGUAUUUCAUGUGAGACGGGUCAACAUCGAUUUUGACCGGCAGAGAAGGGGAGCGAGAAUGUGGCAUUCUUCGGAGUGUGUUAUAGCUUACUCUCAUAUGUGUCGGUUGGGAUCGAGGCCCGCAGCGCGCCCUUGUGGCCGGAGGUUCGCCUUACGUUACGCGCUUAGGAUGUUGGCAUAAGACUUGA
rnacentral:rRNA from 1 species